GUUUAACACACGCAAGGACUGCCGACAUAAGGUAAUGUGGUUGGAAAUGAUCCCCUAUUCGACGGACUCGCUACAGCCAUUGCAUCUAUUCUUCCCAACCCAGAUAGAGAUAUUAGCAUCGAGAGGGCAAUUAAGCUCGGUGCUAAACAUUAUGUGGGCACAGCUAACCCUACUGAUGCUGAGGAAUGGAUGAGGAAUUUAGAAAGUAUUUUUGAUAUUAUGGGUUGUUCUGACGAAAAGAAACUACGCCUUGCUACUUUCUUGCUGAAAGGUGUGGCAGCUGACUGGUGGGUUGCUUUUCGAAGCAGGUAUCGUGAAGCCAGUGACAUUACAUGGGCUAUUUUUAGAGAUGCUUUCUUUGAGACAUACUAUCCUCUUUCAUACAAGAAUGUCAAGCAAAAUGAGUUCUUGAGAAUGACUCAAGGUUUAAUGACUUUUUCUGAAUAUCACACCAAGUUUGUAGAGCUUUCAAAGUAUGCAUUGGUUCUAGUAAAUAAGGAGAAUGACAAAUGCAGGCGAUUUGAAGAGAACUUGAGGCAUGAUAUUAGGGCGAUGGUGACAGGGCAGGGACAUGCCAGAUUUGGUCCACUAGUUGAGGCGGCCUUGAGAAUCGAGGCAGCAUUACAAGCAGGACAAAGUCAGGGGAUUCAAUUAGCUAUUCGAGGAAAUCAAAGUCAGACAAGAACCUCUAGUGGACAGCAUAAAAAGAACAAAGGAAGAUUUUGGCUUGGUGUUACUCAUACUAGGAGUUUUAAGUCGAGAUCUCAGAGUUCUGGAUUCAGUCAAGAAUCCAUUCAUAGUCAGAACUCUAUCAACCAGCUAGCACAUCGUUAGUCUUCGAUUCAGAGGGCUAUGGCCUCGAGACCUAUCAACGGCCUUAGUAGUACUCGAUAUCCGCCUUGUCAGAUUUGUGGAAAACUCCAUCUUGGUAAGUGUCUUAAGGGUACCAAUGGAUGCUUUGUGUGCGGACAGGAAGGACAUUUAAGGAAAGACUAUCCAGCCCGAUUUUAGGAGGGAGGCUCAUCUCAGGGGACAAGUAUACAGAUAGGGACUAGUGAUGCCAGAUCGAGAUAGAAUAAAAAGGGAAUUCCAACAAGUAAUGUAGGUUCGACUAGUAGAGUACAGUUUGAUAUGGCCGGUGGCAGUGAUUCCAAGCAGAGGGACAGUCAGGACGUACUCAGACUCGGGGCAGAGUGUUUGCUAUGACACAACAGGAGGCCGAGGAAUCACCUGACGUAGUUAUGGGUAUGUUAUCUAUUUUUGGUAGAAAUGCUUGUUCCUUAAUUGAUUCGGGUGCUACAUAUUCCUUUAUUUCUCAUGCACUUGCUAGCCAGGCUGAUAAAAUGUCGGAGCCUUUAAACAGUGAAUUAGUAGUAAUGACUCCUGUAGGGGAUUCACUUUUAGCUAGUUGGGUAUACAAAGAUUGUGGGAUUAGAGUGAACAAUCAUGAGUUGAAAGCAUAUCUAAUUCCACUCGAUAUUCAUGAUUUUGAUGUUAUUUU
rnacentral:lncRNA from 1 species